rnacentral:rRNA from 1 species
ACAAUGCGGAACAAUGUUUUGCAAUUGGAUUGAGAACAACGUACAAACCUUAUCGAUAAACAAUUGGAGGGCAAGUCUGGUGCCAGCAGCCGCGGUAAUUCCAGCUCCAAUAGCGUAUAUUAACGUUGUUGCAGUUAAAAAGCUCGUAGUUGAAAUGAAGGGUAGUUGUGUAAUGAAUACAUUCGUGUAUUUUGUUAUUCAACUACCCUCCUUCUAAAUUCGAUAUAUGAGUAUUAAUUUACUUGUAUAUGGUUUUAGACGUUUACUGUGAGAAAAUUAGAGUGUUCAAAGCAGGCAUUUGCUUGAAUAUAUUAGCAUGGAAUAAUCAUGUAUGAUUUUCAUGAUGUAUUAAAAGGGUUUGGUUCAU